AUAUUGCACAAUGGGGGAAACCCUGAUGCAGCCAUGCCGCGUGUGUGAAGAAGGCCUUCGGGUUGUAAAGCACUUUCAGCGAGGAGGAAAGGUUGAUGCCUAAUACGUAUCAACUGUGACGUUACUCGCAGAAGAAGCACCGGCUAACUCCGUGCCAGCAGCCGCGGUAAUACGGAGGGUGCAAGCGUUAAUCGGAAUUACUGGGCGUAAAGCGCACGCAGGCGGUUGGAUAAGUUAGAUGUGAAAGCCCCGGGCUCAACCUGGGAAUUGCAUUUAAAACUGUCCAGCUAGAGUCUUGUAGAGGGGGGUAGAAUUCCAGGUGUAGCGGUGAAAUGCGUAGAGAUCUGGAGGAAUACCGGUGGCGAAGGCGGCCCCCUGGACAAAGACUGACGCUCAGGUGCGAAAGCGUGGGGAGCAAACAGG
rnacentral:rRNA from 1 species